rnacentral:rRNA from 1 species
GUCUAUGGCCACGCCACCGUGAACAAGCCCGAUCCCGUCUGAUCUGGGAAGCUAAGCAGGGUCGGGCCUGGUUAGUACUUGGAUGGGAGACCACGUAGGACCAGCAGGUGCUGUAGGCA